rnacentral:rRNA from 1 species
CCGGACCUGACUGCUAUCGGAUUGGUACUAAGCCAUGCGAGUCAUUGUAGCAAUACAAGGCGGACGGCUCAGUAACACGUAGUCAACCUAACCUAUGGACGUGGAUAACCUCGGGAAACUGAGAAUAAACCGCGAUAGAUCAUUAUGCCUGGAAUGGCUUAUGGUUCAAACAAUUUAUUGCCGUAGGAUGGGACUGCGGCCUAUCAGCUUGUUGGUGAGGUAAUGGCCCACCAAGGCUAUAACAGGUACGGGCUCUGAGAGGAGAAGCCCGGAGAUGGGUACUGAGACACGGACCCAGGCCCUAUGGGGCGCAGCAGGCGAGAAACCUUAGCAAUGUGCGAAAGCACGACUAGGUUAAUCCGAGUGAUUCCUGUUGAAGGAAUCUUUUGUCAGUCGUAAAACCACAGACGAAUAAGGGGUGGGCAAGUCUGGUGUCAGCCGCCGCGGUAAUACCAGCACCUCGAGUGGUCAGGAGGUUUAUUGGGCCUAAAGCAUCCGUAGCCGGCUUUGCAAGUCUCCGGUUAAAUCCAGCUGCUCAACAGAUGGGCUGCCGGAGAUACUACACAGCUAGGGAGCGGGAGAGGCAGACGGUAUUCUGUGGGUAGGGGUAAAAUCCAUUGAUCCAUAGAGGACCACCAGUGGCGAAGGCGGUCUGCCAGAACGCGUUCGACGGUGAGGGAUGAAAGCUGGGGGAGCAAACCGGAUUAGAUACCCGGGUAGUCCCAGCUGUAAACGAUGCAAACUCGGUGAUGCAUUGGCUUAUGGGCCAAUGCAGUGCCGCAGGAAGCCGUUAAGUUUGCCGCCUGGGAGUACGGACGCAAGUCUGAACUUAAAGGAAUUGGCGGGG